UAUUAGGAGCACGGAGGCCUCCGUGCUCCUAAGCCGUUUUCGAUGAUGGAGCUUUCGAAUCGACGAUCAGCUCCGUUAGACUUGAUCUAGCGUAUUUGAAAUAUUUAGAAAAUAAAUUUUGCGGUUUUUCGAUAUUAUUUACCUAGUGAUCGAAGGGUUUAAAAUCAAUAAUUUUUAAUGGUUGAUGUAUACCGUUUGCAAGUUUAAUGGUGUAGAAGUAUUCAAAUCAGAUGAAAUUUUGAUAGAAAAUUCUUUAUACCAUUUACAGCAAGAUCAGUGUCUUUGAUCGAAAAUUUUAGUGCUACAUCACGAUUUUUAUUUUCAGCCGUUGAUUUUGAACUCUUUCGAUUGCUAGGUAAAUGAUAUCGAAAAAUCGCAAAAUUUAUUUUCUAGAUACUUUAAAUAUGCUAGAUCAAGUCUAACGGAGCCGAUCGUCGAUUUGGAAGUUCCAUCAUUGAAAACGGCUUAGGACUCCGUGCUCCUAAUAGCACACAAGACCUAUAU
rnacentral:lncRNA from 1 species